rnacentral:rRNA from 1 species
AGGGCACCACAAGGAGUGGAGAAUGCGGCUUAAUUUGACUCAACACGGGAAAACUCACCAGGUCCGAACACAGUAAGGAGUGACGGAUUGAUAGCUCUUUCAUGAUUCUGUGGGUGGUGGUGCAUGGCCGUUCUUAGUUCGUGGAGUGAUUUGUCUGCUCGACUGCGAUAACGAACGAGACAUUCGUGGGAUGUUAUGACUACCGAGGACUCUCGACGAAAGGGGACUUGUCUCCGAGUAAGAGAGAGUACGCUCGGUCUUAGUCAGAAUUCCCUCACAAACAACAUAAAAGUUGUACGAAAGAAUGCAAUAACAGGUCUGUGAUGCCCUUAGAUGUUCUGGGCUGCACGCGCUCUACAAUGAGUGUGAUAACGAGUUGUUCAGUUGUUUACGAGCGAGAAAUCGUCUUCGUCAAACAAAUUCCCGCCUAGAAAAGGGUAGGAAAUCUCUGAAACAUACUCGUGACAGGGAUAGUGCCUUGUAAUUGUGGUGCUUGAACGAGGAAUCCCUUGUAGUCGA